rnacentral:tRNA from 1 species
GCCUGAGUGGCUUAGUCGGCUAAGCAUCUGACUUCAGCUCAGGUCAUGGUCUCAUGGUUUGUGAGUUCAACCCCCAUGUCGGGCU